GGAUAUCCACAUACAUACAUACAUACAUAUGUACCUAUCAACUGCAAAUCUCUCUGAUUGUCUCCGUGUUGCAUCUACAUCUGUGGUCCUCUGUGAACCUGUCGUCGUGGCUCGGUCAUGUAAGCUGAUAACGAAGGCAGCCUCAUUGCGGCUAGCACCGAUCAACGCACUUGUUGUAAAUGCAUCCAACUUCUGCUUCUCUGGCUCAGACACGGCUGUUAAAAACCGAAAGUGAUCCUACAAACCCACUUAAGUUCCCAUUGUUUCCCUUUCAUUCAGGAAAUCGUCGAUGUAAAAAAAAACAAAGCAAAGUCAAAUCCCUAAGAAUACUCAAUAGUGGAAAAAAAGGGGAUAACAAAAACCAACCGAUGCAAACAGAUGAAGGGCGUAAGACAACAACAAAGGAAUACAAAACAAAAAAAAAACAAAACUACAUACAUAUACAUAAUGUUGAGCAGAUGCAGUGGUUUUAAGCCAGGCACCAUCAGGCAACCGCCAAUUUGUGCGAAGAACCCUUGCCUACCCUAACAUGAGAAUGAAAAGGUAUCAGCAGAGCUACCGGAAAACAAAUCAGAAUAUAUUUCCAGUAUGCGUCUGAGUGACUGUGGCAAUGGCUGUGACUAUGCCGGGGCGCGCCGCGCUACGCCGCGGCAGCAGUUGCAGCAGUUGUGCUCUUCAACAACGCAUGAAGCAUUCACAAUUCGUUGCUGUUGCGGUUAAAUCAUAGUUGUGAAGAUCGCUUAACGAGGAUCAACCACGCCAGGUCAGCAAGACGCAGCGUGGAGGAUUUCAGUCGCACCAACGCACAGUGGGUCAGUUGCAAAUUCCAAAUUUGGUACGAUCUGCCAUAAACAACAAAACAAAGGGAUUUACUUAAAUUUCAUUUGGAAUUUUGGCCACAAUCACCCACUGUACAACGGAGUAAAAUAAAAACACAAACAACCGCAUCGAGUUGAAAGACGUCGGGGUUAAAGACAGUCGUGGCAAAAGAGUUAAAAAUCUCUACAAAGCCAUCAGGCGUAAGACAGCGCUAGCCAAAACAGACGUCUCCAGAUACAGAAAUAAG